CAUGUCUAAGUAUAAGCAAUUAUACCGUGAAACUGCGAAUGGCUCAUUAAAUCAGUUAUCGUUUAUUUGAUAGUACCUUACUACUUGGAUAACCGUGGUAAUUCUAGAGCUAAUACAUGCUAAAAACCCCGACUUCGGGAGGGGUGUAUUUAUUAGAUAAAAAACCAAUGCCCUUCUGGGCUCCUUGGUGAUUCAUGAUAACUUAACGGAUCGCAUGGCCUUGCGCCGGCGACGGUUCAUUCAAAUUUCUGCCCUAUCAACUUUCGAUGGUAAGGUAUUGGCUUACCAUGGUUUCAACGGGUAACGGGGAAUUAGGGUUCGAUUCCGGAGAGGGAGCCUGAGAAACGGCUACCACAUCCAAGGAAGGCAGCAGGCGCGCAAAUUACCCAAUCCCGACACGGGGAGGUAGUGACAAUAAAUACUGAUACAGGGCUCUUUUGGGUCUUGUAAUCGGAAUGAGUACAAUUUAAACCCCUUAACGAGGAACAAUUGGAGGGCAAGUCUGGUGCCAGCAGCCGCGGUAAUUCCAGCUCCAAUAGCGUAUAUUAAAGUUGUUGCAGUUAAAAAGCUCGUAGUUGAACCUUGGGCCUGGCUGGCCGGUCCGCCUCACCGCGUGUACUGGUCCGGCCGGGCCUUUCCUUCUGGUGAGCCUCAUGCCCUUCACUGGGUGUGCUGGGGAACCAGGACUUUUACUGUGAACAAAUUAGAGUGUUCAAAGCAGGCCUUUGCUCGAAUACAUUAGCAUGGAAUAAUAGAAUAGGACGUGCGGUCCUAUUUUGUUGGUUUCUAGGACCGCCGUAAUGAUUAAUAGGGAUAGUCGGGGGCAUCAGUAUUCAAUUGUCAGAGGUGAAAUUCUUGGAUUUAUUGAAGACUAACUACUGCGAAAGCAUUUGCCAAGGAUGUUUUCAUUAAUCAGUGAACGAAAGUUAGGGGAUCGAAGACGAUCAGAUACCGUCGUAGUCUUAACCGUAAACUAUGCCGACUAGGGAUCGGGCGAUGUUUCUAUCUUGACUCGCUCGGCACCUUACGAGAAAUCAAAGUUUU
rnacentral:rRNA from 1 species